UACAGAGGUCUCAAGCGUUGUUCGGAUUCAUUGGGCGUAAAGGGCGCGUAGGCGGCGGGGCAAGUCUGGUGUGAAAUCCCGGGGCUCAACUCCGGAACUGCACUGGAUACUGCCUUGCUAGAGUACUGGAGAGGGAACUGGAAUUUACGGUGUAGCAGUGAAAUGCGUAGAGAUCGUAAGGAAGACCAGUGGCGAAGGCGAGUUCCUGGACAGUAACUGACGCUGAGGCACGAAGGCUAGGGGAGCAAACGGG
rnacentral:rRNA from 1 species